CCUACGGGUGGCAGCAGUGAGGAAUAUUGGUCAAUGGGCGCGAGCCUGAACCAGCCAAGUAGCGUGAAGGAUGACUGCCCUAUGGGUUGUAAACUUCUUUUAUAUUAGAAUAAAGUGCAGUAUGUAUACUGUUUUGUAUGUAUAAUAUGAAUAAGGAUCGGCUAACUACGUGCCAGCAGCCGCGGUAAUACGUAGGGGGCAAGCGUUAUCCGGAAUUACUGGGUGUAAAGGGAGCGUAGGCGGCAUGGUAAGCCAGAUGUGAAAGCCUUGGGCUUAACCCGAGGAUUGCAUUUGGAACUAUCAAGCUAGAGUACAGGAGAGGAAAGCGGAAUUCCUAGUGUAGCGGUGAAAUGCGUAGAUAUUAGGAAGAACACCAGUGGCGAAGGCGGCUUUCUGGACUGAAACUGACGCUGAGGCUCGAAAGCGUGGGGAGCAAACAG
rnacentral:rRNA from 1 species